rnacentral:hammerhead_ribozyme from 1 species
AUAAUGUUGAGGAGUCCCACAAUAGGACGAAAUGGCCAUCCAAU